rnacentral:rRNA from 1 species
UACGGAGGGUGCGAGCGUUGUCCGGAAUCACUGGGCGUAAAGGGCGCGUAGGCGGCGCGGCUAGUCGGCGGUGAAAGCCCGGAGCUCAACUCCGGAUCGGCCGUCGAUACUUCCGGGCUUGAGCACUGUAGAGGCAGAUGGAAUUCCGGGUGUAGCGGUGGAAUGCGUAGAGAUCCGGAAGAACACCGGUGGCGAAGGCGGUCUGCUGGGCAGUUGCUGACGCUGAUGCGCGAAAGCGUGGGGAGCAAACAGG